rnacentral:lncRNA from 1 species
GUGGAUGUGAGGUGCGAUGCAGGACCUGGGUGUGAAAACUGAGUGAGGUGGCAUACGUGGUAGGGACAGGGUUUGGAGCUCAGGGAAGGUCAGCUGGGUCUUAAUCCCUCGUGCCUUCGGCAGUAUUGCUCAAGACGGUCGUCAGGGAGAUCCAGGCACUGGGAUGCAGGCAAGGCGUCCGGAGCAAAAGGGACAGACUCCAGCUUGGACGCAGGGUCUGGAGGCUGUAGUUCAGGCUGGGCGUCAGAAAACUCUGGGAGCUCCGCAGACGGGCAGGAAGGAGACAAGCGGAGGAAUGCGCGUGUCCCAGGAGGCCCAGUAGAGGUGUUCACUGCUUGUGUUCCAGGAUUUCUAUUAUUUUGGACUGACAAGUCUGGCGGCCUGCAUAGCCCUCCUGGGAGGAUGCGCCUACGUGCCCAUGUGACCUUGCCCCUUGACCAAGCAGUUUGGAUUGUGGUGGCCACCCCGCCAGGCGGACUUAAUCCCUUGUCUGGUGAAUGGUCAAGUGUGUGUGUAGAGCCAGUGAGAACUCUGAGUCCUGCAUUGGAGCUCAUCUCGAUGGGAGAUUGUUGGGCCAGAAAGUCAGCACAAGAUGUGGAUCAUGCAGCCAUGAGGAGAAGCCAGAGAGCAGGGUCUGUGCCUGUGAAUUGAGGUGGUGGAAUGGAUUGAGCAGCAUCUGAAGGGUGUUUGAGAUUUAGAGGGAACACGACGCUCUUAUUGGUGCACCUUUCCUUCAGGUAAAGUUUCAAGUUUUUCUAAAAUUUUGGAUAUGCUCC